rnacentral:rRNA from 1 species
UAGGGAAUCUUCCGCAAUGGACGCAAGUCUGACGGAGCAACGCCGCGUGAGUGAAGAAGGAUUUCGGUUCGUAAAACUCUGUUGUUAGAGAAGAACAGCGCAUAGAGUAACUGUUAUGCGUGUGACGGUAUCUAACCAGAAAGCCACGGCUAACUACGUGCCAGCAGCCGCGGUAAUACGUAGGUGGCAAGCGUUGUCCGGAUUUAUUGGGCGUAAAGCGAGCGCAGGCGGUCAAUUAAGUCUGAUGUGAAAGCCCCCGGCUCAACCGGGGAGGGUCAUUGGCAACUGGUUGACUUGAGUGCAGAAGAGGAGAGUGGAAUUCCAUGUGUAGCGGUGACAUGCGUAGAUAUAUGGAGGAACACCAGUGGCGAAGGCGACUCUCUGGUCUGUAACUGACGCUGAGGCUCGAAAGCGUGGGUAGCAAACAGG